CCGAGUGAGGGCCCUCUGGGUCCAACCUCCCACCCGUGUUUUAACGUACCUUGUUGCUUCGGCGGGCCCGCCGCAAGGCCGCCGGGGGGCACCCGCCCCCGGGUCCGCGCCCGCCGAAGACACCUGUGAACGCUGUCUGAAGAUUGCAGUCUGAGCGAAAAGCUAAAUUAUUA
rnacentral:misc_RNA from 1 species